rnacentral:lncRNA from 1 species
AUAAGCAAUGGACUGUUUUAUUCUUGGUGCUUUCAAGACCUGAUGCUUUGUUUUGAACAGGUUGAUACAUCUAGUAAGAAGACUUUCACCAGGUGCUGGUGCCAUGUUCUUGGACUUCUCAGUCUCCCAAACCAUAAGCCAAGAGUGAAAUACAUCACCGCUUUCCCUGCUCCCGCCGCCAUUAAAAUUGUGUUUGGCAUCUGACCACCAAGAUACAGAUAUUUCCUAGACUGUUUUGCAGCUAGGUACUUAGAAGUUUUUCUAAGUUAUUUAAACUUCUCACCACACAAAAUCUGGAUUUGUAUCUGUCACGUAGUAAUUGCUUGAUAAAUCAUUUCUCUUUCCUCUGGAGAAAAAUAUCUGCUUUCUUUAAAAUAAAUGUUCCAUCCAUGCAGCUAAGCAGCUAAGGACACGAACAGCCACUGAUACAGGCCAACUCAUCAGUAGAUUAUUGAGGAAUCAUUCUCUUCAGUCAGAUCACGAUUUGAGUUUGAACUAACCAGAGAGUAGCAGAAGGAACGUUUUCUCAUUUCCAUGUCCAGAAAGAUAUAUUCCUGCUACCCUCCUGAAGUCAGAGGAUGAAAUCAUAGUCAAUACAUCUUUGCAGAUAAACUAUUAGAUUUCAUACUAGGACCUUUCAUUGGCUGAACAAAGACAAAGACAGAAAUCAAGGAAGGUCAAAGAAGCAGUCAGUUUUCUGGCACCCAAAGUUGUUGGAGAAGGGUACAGAGUCGGUAAAUAAGUCAUAUGACAGACAGGCAGUAUUUUCUUAUUUUAAUAACAAGUUUAAAAAUCCCACUUCUUGUACUUACCUUCUGUCUGACGUCAUCAGUAUUUUAAAAUGCCAACUGGGAUCAAGUUCAACACUGCAUUACUGAAGAAUCCAGAUUAUCUACAUUUCAAGUGCCAAAUGAAAGAAAGAACCCAGAAAAUAAAACAAUAUGAUGAUAACAGUAAAAUUUUUUAAAAUGAAAUUUAUGGUCUAAAUCCUGAUCAUUAAUGGUUAUUUCAUAUUGAAGCAAUGAGG